rnacentral:rRNA from 1 species
GACGAACGCUGGCGGCGUGCUUAACACAUGCAAGUCGAACGGUGAAGCGCCUUCCUUUUUGGUGGGUGUGGAUGAGUGGCGAACGGGUGAGUAACACGUGAGUAACCUGCCCCCUUCUUCUGGAUAACCGCAUGAAAGUGUGGCUAAUACGGGAUAUUCUGGGUCUGUCGCAUGAUGGGUCUGGGAAAGAUAUUGUUUCGGUGGGGGAUGGGCUCGCGGCCUAUCAGCUUGUUGGUGGGGUGAUGGCCUACCAAGGCGGUGACGGGUAGCCGGCCUGAGAGGGUGGACGGUCACACUGGGACUGAGACACGGCCCAGACUCCUACGGGAGGCAGCAGGGGGGAAUAUUGCACAAUGGGAGCAAGCCUGAUGCAGCGACGCCGCGUGAGGGAUGGAGGCCUUCGGGUUGUGAACCUCUUUCGCCAGUGAAGCAGGCCUGCCUCGUUUGUGGGUGGGUUGACGGUAGCUGGAGAAGAAGCGCCGGCUAACUACGUG